AGUAAUGUCUGGGAAACUGCCUGAUGGAGGGGGAUAACUGCUGGAAACGGUAGCUAAUACCGCAUAACGUCGCAAGACCAAAGUGGGGGACCUUCGGGCCUCAUGCCAUCAGAUGUGCCCAGACGGGAUUAGCUAGUAGGUGGGGUAACGGCUCACCUAGGCGACGAUCCCUAGCUGGUCUGAGAGGAUGACCAGCCACACUGGAACUGAGACACGGUCCAG
rnacentral:rRNA from 1 species